CCCAUUUGGAAUGGCUGUAUUUACCCAAUGCUUAUACCUGCAUUGUAUCUAGAAAGUAACUAACAUACCUUUGAUUUUACAGGCUCAUAGGCAGAAGGGACUUGCCUUGUCUCAGAUGAGACAUUGGACUGUGGACUUCUGAGUUAAUACUGAACUUCCAUUACCAUGGCAGAGAUGGCAGAAGUGUCUGAGGUGGUAUAGAGUACUGAAGCAAGGCUGUCUUGAAGAAGAGGAGACAAUUCACAAUUCUACCACUUUUGUUGACCUCUUCUUCUCCCCCCACUUAUUGCUGUAGAGGCUACCUGAGCUCAUUGUCCCUGGAGAUGGACCAAAUAGAAGAAUAAGCAGUGCCUGUGUGCAUGAUAACAGUACGAUGAUACUCAAAACCACACAAAGAAGAAUCCAAGAGAAGAACCAGAGAGAAACAACACAAGCAUGAGAUCCCAGUUGACUAGGGCGGUGGCAGUAAUGUGGAUUGGACUCUGGAAGGACAGGUGGUGGAGCCAAGAUGGCCGAAUAGGAACAGCCCCAGACUACAGCUCUCAGCGUGAGCGACGCAGAAGAUGGGUGAUUUCUGCAUUUCCAUCCGAGGUGCUUUUAACAUUUGCUGAACAUGCAGAGCAAGGGGACUACAGACUUCUGCCAACACAAAGAUAAGAGAAAUUUGCUUUAGCAAAUUUGCCUUCUAUUUCUUUAUUCAACCUGAUUGAGUAUGGUAGCAAGACAAAGACUUUUUACCUGUUUCUGGUGAUUUAAUUGCACUGUUAAUGUUUCAGAACCAUAUGGAACAAUUUCCCUUUAAAUUAAUAUAAAUGAGAAAAUGCC